rnacentral:rRNA from 1 species
UACGUAGGGUGCGAGCGUUAAUCGGAAUUACUGGGCGUAAAGCGUGCGCAGGCGGUUUUGUAAGCCAGAUGUGAAAUCCCCGGGCUCAACCUGGGAAUGGCAUUUGGGACUGCAAGGCUGGAGUACGGCAGAGGAGACUGGAAUUCCUGGUGUAGCAGUGAAAUGCGCAGAUAUCAGGAGGAACACCGAUGGCGAAGGCAGGUCUCUGGGCCGAUACUGACGCUGAGACGCGAAAGCGUGGGGAGCGAACAGG